rnacentral:rRNA from 1 species
CGGACGGGUGAGUAACGCGUGAGGAUCUGGCUUCAGGAUGGGGAUAACAUUGGGAAACUGAUGCUAAUACCCGAUAUGGCGAGAGGUAAAAGAUUUAUCGCCUGAAGAUGAACUCGCGUCCGAUUAGCUAGUUGGAGUGGUAAGGGCACCCCAAGGCGAUGAUCGGUAGCUGGUCUGAGAGGAUGAUCAGCCACACUGGGACUGAGACACGGCCCAGACUCCUACGGGAGGCAGCAGUGGGGAAUUUUCCGCAAUGGGCGCAAGCCUGACGGAGCAAUACCGCGUGCGGGAGGACGGCCUUUGGGUUGUAAACCGCUUUUCUCAGGGAAGAAGGUCUGACGGUACCUGAGGAAUCAGCAUCGGCUAACUCCGUGCCAGCAGCCGCGGUAAUACGGAGGAUGCAAGCGUUAUCCGGAAUUAUUGGGCGUAAAGCGUCCGCAGGUGGUUAGACAAGUCUGCUGUUAAAGCGUGGAGCUUAACUCCAUAAGGGCGGUGGAAACUGUUUAACUAGGGUAUGGUAGGGGUCACGGGAAUUCCCAGUGUAGCGGUGAAAUGCGUAGAUAUUGGGAAGAACACCAGCGGCGAAAGCGCGUUACUGG